rnacentral:rRNA from 1 species
AACGAACGCUGGCGGCAUGCCUAACACAUGCAAGUCGAACGAUUGCCUUCGGGUUAUCGUGGCUCACGGGUGCGUAACCCGUUGGAAUCCGCCUUUAUGUUCUGAAUUACAGCUGGAAACGGCUUCUAAUACCGGAUGAUAUCGCGAGAUCAAAGAUUUAUCGGCUGGGGAUGGGUCCGAGUUUGAUUGGGUAGUGGGUAGGGUAAAGGCCUACCAAGCCGACGAUGCAUAGCUGGUCUGAGAGGAUGAUCAGCCACACUGGGACUGAGACACGGCCCAGACUGCUAGGCGGAGGAGCAGAGGGGAGUAUUAGACAAUGGGCGCAAGCCUGAUACAGCAAUGCGGCGUAAGUGAUGAAGGCCGUAGGGUUGUAAAGCCCUUUUACCCGAGAAGAUAAUGACGGUAACGGGAGAAUAAGCCCCGGCUAACUACGUG